CCUGGGUGUCCUGUGGAUAUUAUCAUUCUGCCUUUGUUACUGUGGAUGGGGCCUUGUUCACAUUUGGAGAAAAGGACAGUGGGAAGCUGGGCUUGUCCAAAGAGAAGCUGGCCAAUCAUAAAGUGCCUCAACAGGUGACAGGCAUCUCUGAUAAAGUGGUACAGGUAUCCUGUGGAGGAGGGCACACAGUGGCACUUACGGAGCACGAGGUGUAUUCGUUCGGCCUGGGCCAGUUUGGACAGCUCGGUCACGGCACUUUCAUAUUUGAGUCACGUUUACCCAGAGUGGUUGAACAUUUCAGAAGGGGCAGAGUUAAACGUGUGGAGUGUGGAGAGAACCAUACAGCGCUGAUUACUGACAGUGGACUUUUGUACACCUUUGGUGAUGGUCGACAUGGAAAGCUGGGGCUUGGAGAAGAGAACUUCACCAACCAGUUCAAACCAACCCUAUGUCCAAGAUUCCUAGACUAUCAUGUACA